rnacentral:rRNA from 1 species
CCUACGGGAGGCAGCAGUGGGGAAUAUUGGGCAAUGGAGGAAACUCUGACCCAGCGACGCCGCGUGCGGGAUGAAGGCCUUCGGGUUGUAAACCGCUUUCAGCAGGGAAGAAGCGAAAGUGACGGUACCUGCAGAAGAAGCACCGGCUAACUAUGUGCCAGCAGCCGCGGUAAUACAUAGGGUGCAAGCGUUGUCCGGAAUUAUUGGGCGUAAAGAGCUCGUAGGUGGUUCGUCACGUCGGAUGUGAAAAUCUGGGGCUUAACCCCAGACCUGCAUUCGAUACGGGCGAGCUUGAGUAUGGUAGGGGAGUCUGGAAUUCCUGGUGUAGCGGUGGAAUGCGCAGAUAUCAGGAGGAACACCAAUGGCGAAGGCAGGACUCUGGGCCAUUACUGACACUGAGGAGCGAAAAGCGUGGGGAGCGAACAGGAUUAGAUACCCUGGUAGUCCACGCCGUAAACGGUGGGCACUAGUUGUGGGGACCUUCCACGGUCUCUGCGACGCAGCUAACGCAUUAAGUGCCCGCCUGGGGAGUACGAUCGCAAGAAUUAAAACUACAAAAGGAAAUUGACGG